rnacentral:rRNA from 1 species
UACGUAGGGACCAAGCGUUGUUCGGAUUUACUGGGCGUAAAGGGCGCGUAGGCGGCAACUCAAGUCAGCUGUGAAAUCUCCGGGCUUAACCCGGAACGGUCAGCUGAUACUGUUUUGCUAGAGUGCAGAAAGGGCAAUCGGAAUUCUUGGUGUAGCGGUGAAAUGCGUAGAUAUCAAGAGGAACACCUGAGGCGAAGGCGGGUUGCUAGGCUGACACUGACGCUGACAGCGCGAAAGCUAGGGUAGCAAACGGG